GGAGCCUGCCCAGAAGUAAUAGCUUGUCUUCAAAGAAGAGCCACAGGAAGCAGAGUCCUUCAGCCUAGGAACCAUCCAUUCUGGCCUUCUGAGUCUGGGCUGCAGAUACACAAGUACCCUAGCUCACUCAAGCCCGUUCUUCCACCUGGCCUCUGUGAUCGCUGUUUCUGAAGAGGAGAAGGGCUUCUCUUUCUCUGCAACUCAAGUGUCGCUGGCAAAGAGACGACUGUGCUUCCCUCCUCCUCGGAGAACGUGACAUCACAGAAGCCCCUCUCCUCCUUCGCUGGCCCAGAUUCACUUCCUGUUUCCAGCAGUGAACACAGGCCUGGCCAGGGAAACCCAGGCUGAGCUGCAGACCAGGGGAAUCUCAGGGGCUCAGGCUGCCAACAGGCUCCUCGCACCACACGCUGCCCAGCUCACAGCCACCCGCUGUGCAAGAUACAGAGGGAGAGAGGAGACACCACACACCUGAGCUUCCCCUGGUGUCCAGGCACAGGAGUCUGCCUGGAGGAGGAGUCAGGGUCGUCCUCACACUCAAGUCUCUGUGGAAGCCUCGCCCAGGGAAGCAGACCCUGUAAAGUGUGGCUCGCUGGCAUGAGAACACAGGAAAUGAAGAGCUGGGGAAUAGCUCGCCCUGUUCCUCUGAGAAAAACUAAACCUGUGUUUAAAUCACA